rnacentral:lncRNA from 1 species
AAACACUCAAUAUAAGUAAGAGGGCCAAUCCCACAUUACAGAUACCAACCCUAAAUAGGGGAAAUUUUUAAAUGCUACGGGAGGACCACGUGGUAGUCUGACGUGGUCCUACGUUCCAAUCAAAUUUAGACAUGUGGAUUUAUUACAACUAAAAUAUAAACAAAUAAUUUCUAUUUUUUAUGAAAUGACAUUCAUGGGUAUUUAGCAAGUUCAAACUAGGGUCUAGGGUAUAAGGUUUAAAGUUUAGGGUUUGGGUUUAGGGUAUAGGGUUUAGGGUUUGGAGUUUAGGGCUUAGGGUUUAGUAUUAAAAAACAACAGAAAACCUAAAAUGGUCUUUAACAAAAUAGCUGAAAUAAUUUUUCGUGAAGAAAAUCUACAUGUCUAAAUUUGAUUGAAAAGUAGAACCACGUCAGACUGCCACGUGGUCCUCUUGUAGCAUUGAAAAAUUUCUCCCUAAAUAGACCCAGAAACCAAACCUCAAUGCAUAAACUUCAGAAGAAAUGCAUAACAGCCCCACAUAACACAUCAAUUAAUCUCCACAAUUUAUUCGCUCAAGCAAUGGCUUUCCACAUUUUAUCUCAAAGCAAGACAACUUAACUCCCUAUGAUAUCUCUUAUCCCAAUACCAAUCUUAUCUAGAAAUUUCUCAAUCAUUCUCUAUCAUUAAUACCCACAUAAGAGCUCAACUUACAUCUUAAUCAUAGUCCAACAACUCAUUACGUAAAAGCAAAGGAACAUCAUAAAUACAUGCCACUUCCCAACUCAUAAUUGAUCUUAGAAUCUCGCAACCACAAUAAAGCAUAAAGGAAAGGUGCAUAUCACUUACCUUUCCAUUACUCGGAAAAUAACCAAGAUACCCUUUGAGGUCGGCGUACGGAGGCAUAGUCUUAAAGAUGUAGACAUUUAUGGCACAAUAUUGUCCAUAAAUAAGACAAAAACAACUACCUCACAUACCUAAUAAACACCUAGCAUCUGAUGCAUAUAAUGUUAAAGGAUCUGCCGCGGUCAGACCAUCACUCUAUAGACACUAACUAUCACCAAGUAUAUGAGGUAGUGAUAGGAAUCGGAUAGCCUAAGCUCUGAUACCAACUGACAGGACCCACCCCGAAUUUCACCCUGAAACCCGAGGUAAAUCCUGUGGGGUCCACUUCCAAAGAAAAUUUACUGAAAAUUCGGCAUAAUCUACCUUGAAAAUGGACAACCCUUACCUGAAAAAUCCAACUUACACUUCUAUAAACAAACAAACCAGCUUCAACACCUGGAGCCUUCCUGCUCCUCAAGUUCAACACAUCUCCCAAAAAUACAACAAGCCUUAAUCAACUAAUAACUAUCUCAAAUGGUUAUCAGAGCAUAUCUAUAAUGAAAGAAAAACAAUGAAUAAAGAAUAAGCGGAAGCAGCCUCUGACUAUGCCUCGACUCCAUGUACGCUCGACCUCAAUUAAGCUUAGCCGGCAAACUGGGCAUUUAAAACGAAAGGACCCAUGGGAAAGUAAUUUAAAAACGUUAGAGUCAGUGGACGAAAAAUAAUCAAGUAACUGAUCGUAGAAUAACUAACCAAACUUAAUUACUUUCCCAUUUUCCAGUAAUCAAGAAAUCUGUGGCAUGCAAGUGUUGAUAAAACCUUCAUAAAUAAAAUCCCAAAAUAAUGGACUAGCCCCGCUAGUCAAGAACAACAUUAAAAGUAUAUAAAGAUCUUUGUAAAAUGAAAUAUCGAAAAGAUGGACUAGCCUUGCUAGUCAAGACAAUAAAUAUUAAAUAAGAAGCAGCUAUAGCCAUACAAGUGAGCCUCUUAGGCUCGGGUGCCUGCCAGGCAAAAGUACUCCCAUACUCCCUACACCUUCACGUUAUGAUAAUAGAGAGGGUGCAGGGCUUGUGUGAUGUCGUCGACUACAUCACAUCACCCGAAGGCGGAAAGGGCUUGAGUAACCCCACUUAAAGCGUGGAAACCACAUCGCCUCGAAAGGCAGAACAAUAUGCUAGCAUUACACUACCAAGACAAGCACUUUAGCCGACGAAAAAUUUUCGUCGGCCUGUUAGCUUAAUUCGUUGGCUAAGAUUUCGUUGGCUAAAGUGUGAUAACUUUAGCCGACGAAAAAAAAAAUUUCGUCGGCUAUAGUCCCGCAGUUUAGCCGACGAAAAACAUGUCGUCGGUUUUUUUCCCAGACUUUAGUCGACGAAACAAUUAAGAUAUUCGUCGGCUAAAGUCUGUAAUAAAAAAUUUUUUCCCAGACUAUAGCCGACGAAAUAUAGUAUGUUUCGUCGGCUAAACCUUAUAAAAAAAUUUAAAAAAAUAACUAUAGCCGAAGAAAUAUAGUUUGUUUGGUCGGCUAAACCUUAUAAAAAAUUUUAAAAAAUAACUAUAGCCGACGAAAUAUGCCAUAAUUCGUCGGCUAAACCUUAUAAAAAAAUUUAAAAANN